rnacentral:rRNA from 1 species
CAGUCGCCACGGUAAUACGAAGGGGGCUAGCGUUGUUCGGAAUUACUGGGCGUAAAGCGCACGUAGGCGGAUAUUUAAGUCAGGGGUGAAAUCCCAGAGCUCAACUCUGGAACUGCCUUUGAUACUGGGUAUCUUGAGUAUGGAAGAGGUGAGUGGAAUUCCGAGUGUAGAGGUGAAAUUCGUAGAUAUUCGGAGGAACACCAGUGGCGAAGGCGGCUCACUGGUCCAUUACUGACGCUGAGGUGCGAAAGCGUGGGGAGCAAACAGGAUUAGAUACCCGUGUAGUCCCUGUCUCUUAUAC